GAUGAACGCUGGCGGCGUGCCUAAUACAUGCAAGUCGAGCGGCAGCACGGUCUUCGGACUGGUGGCGAGCGGCGGACGGCUGAGUAACGCGUAGGAAUAUACCCCAAAGUGAGGGAUAACUGCCCGAAAGGGUGGCUAAUACCGCAUGUGGUCUUCGGACUAAAGCCUUCGGGCGCUUUGGGAAUAGCCUGCGUAAGAUUAGCUAGUUGGUGAGGUAAUGGCUCACCAAGGCGACGAUCUUUAGCUGGUCUGAGAGGAUGACCAGCCAGACUAGGACUGAGACACGGUCCAGACUCCUACGGGAGGCAGCAGUAGGGAAUUUUCCACAAUGGGCGAAAGCCUGAUGGAGCAACGCCGCGUGCAGGAUGAAGGCCCUCGGGUCGUAAACUGCUUUUAUGUGCGAAGAAUAUGACGGUAACACAUGAAUAAGGGUCGGCUAACUACGUGCCAGCAGCCGCGGUAAU
rnacentral:rRNA from 1 species